UACGUAGGGGGCAAGCGUUGUCCGGAAUCAUUGGGCGUAAAGCGCGUGUAGGCGGCUCGGUAAGUCAGCUGUGAAAGUCCAGGGCUCAACCCUGGAAUGCCGGUUGAUACUGUCGAGCUCGAGUCCGGAAGAGGUGGGUGGAAUUCCUGGUGUAGCGGUGAAAUGCGCAGAUAUCAGGAGGAACACCGGUGGCUAAGGCGGCUCUCUAGUACGGUACUGACGCUGAGACGCGAAAGCGUGGGGAGCGAACAGG
rnacentral:rRNA from 1 species